rnacentral:rRNA from 1 species
UACGUAGGGUGCGAGCGUUAAUCGGAAUUACUGGGCGUAAAGGGCGCGUAGGCGGCCACCGCAAGUCGGUUGUGAAAUCUCUGGGCUUAACCCAGAAAGGUCAACCGAUACUGCGGGGCUAGAGUGCAGAAGGGGCAACUGGAAUUCUCGGUGUAGCGGUGAAAUGCGUAGAUAUCGAGAGGAACACCUGCGGCGAAGGCGGGUUGCUGGGCUGACACUGACGCUGAAGCGCGAAAGCUAGGGGAGCGAACGGG